rnacentral:rRNA from 1 species
UACGUAGAGGGCUAGCGUUGUCCGGAUUUAUUGGGCGUAAAGAGCGUGUAGGCGGCCAUGUAGGUCCGGUGUGAAAACUCGAGGCUUAACCUCGAGAUGUCAUCGGAAACCAUUUGGCUAGAGUCCGGAAGAGGAGAGUGGAAUUCCUGGUGUAGCGGUGAAAUGCGCAGAUAUCAGGAAGAACACCAAUGGCGAAAGCAGCUCUCUGGGACGGUACUGACGCUGAGACGCGAAAGCGUGGGGAGCGAACAGG